rnacentral:rRNA from 1 species
GACCUCAAAUCAGGUAAGGACACCCGCUGAACUUAAGCAUAUCAAUAAGCGGAGGAAAAGAAAAUAACAAUGAUUCCCCUAGUAACUGCGAGUGAAGAGGGACAAGCUCAAAUUUUAAAUCUGUUAGGUUUACCUAACCGAGUUGUAAUUUGAAGAAGCGUUUUCUGCGCGGUUGGUCAGCCCAAGUCCUAUUGAAUGAGGCAUCAUGGAGGGUGAUAAUCCCGUCCGGUUGAUCGAUGCGUUUUACGAUACGCUCCCGAAGAGUCAAGUUGUUUGGGAUUGCAGCUCUCAAAUGGGAGGUAAAUUUCUCCUAAGGCUAAAUAUUGGCGAGAGACCGAUAGCGAACAAGUACCGUGAGGGAAAGAUGAAAAGUACUUUGAAAAGAGAGUUAAACAGCACGUGAAAUUGUUGAAAGGGAAACGAUUGAAG